rnacentral:rRNA from 1 species
GUCGAGCGGUAACAGAUCCAGCUUGCUGGAUGCUGACGAGCGGCGGACGGGUGAGUAAUGCAUAGGAAUCUGCCCGAUAGUGGGGGAUAACCUGGGGAAACCCAGGCUAAUACCGCAUACGUCCUACGGGAGAAAGGGGGCUCCGGCUCCCGCUAUGGGAUGAGCCUAUGUCGGAUUAGCUAGUUGGUGAGGUAACGGCUCACCAAGGCCACGAUCCGUAGCUGGUCUGAGAGGAUGAUCAGCCACAUCGGGACUGAGACACGGCCCGAACUCCUACGGGAGGCAGCAGUGGGGAAUAUUGGACAAUGGGGGAAACCCUGAUCCAGCCAUGCCGCGUGUGUGAAGAAGGCCCUCGGGUUGUAAAGCACUUUCAGCGAGGAAGAACGCCUAGCGGUUAAUACCCGCUAGGAAAGACAUCACUCGCAGAAGAAGCACCGGCUAACUCCGUGCCAGCAGCCGCGGUAAUACGGAGGGUGCAAGCGUUAAUCGGAAUUACUGGGCGUAAAGCGCGCGUAGGUGGCUUGAUAAGCCGGUUGUGAAAGCCCCGGGCUCAACCUGGGAACGGCAUCCGGAACUGUCAAGCUAGAGUGCAGGAGAGGAAGGUAGAAUUCCCGGUGUAGCGGUGAAAUGCGUAGAGAUCGGGAGGAAUACCAGUGGCGAAGGCGGUCUUCUGGACUGACACUGACACUGAUGUGCGAAAGCGUGGGUAGCAAAAGGAUUAGAUACCCUGGUAGUUCAUGCUGUAACGAUGUCGACCAGCCGUUGGGUGCCUAGCGCACUUUGUGGCAAUUAACGCGUAA